AAUUUUAUGUCUUUGGAAUGGAAAGAGAAGUUCGUUCUGUGGAUGCUUUCUUGGCUCCUUCCUGUCCUCUACUAAAUGUCUUUAUGAUUAUCUACCAACUCUGUAUUUUUAACUGGUUAUUAUCGAAUGAAAUGGCCGGGUCGAAAUUGAGUACUCUUGUAGAUUACAUUGAAUAACAACAGUACCUGGUACAUCAUCGAAUUGAUAUAUCGGAUCUCAGUAGGGUCUCCGCAUGAUCCUUUCCUUUUGACAGGGUUCCGGGUAUGGAUACCUGGCAGCAACACAAUGCUUGCCUGCAUUAACAAGAGUGGUAGGCCUAGAUAGAUGGAAAUUCUAUAAUGCAUAGGAUGAAGGCAUUGAUGAGGAGGCAUUUUGUAUGUUGGACGAUGGAACAAUAAAGGAGCUGAUUCCAAAAAUUGGUACCAGAAUGAAGUUUACAAGGAAGAACCGCAAUCUACUACUAUGUAAUAGUCAUGAUAGUAGUCUUGGGGGGAACAGAGUGUAGUUGCAAUGCAACUUCUACCGAUCAUGCUGCCCCCCCCCCCCCCCCAGGCCAACGAAAGGUCAUAGACCAUCCGUGACUGAGGCAAUGUCAUCGUUCAUACAGUAUCAAGCAGGUAUAGAGUUAUUGCCUACAUGUAGUUUUUGCGAUUUGAGCAUGGCGACCUUGAAUAUUGCAUACAGAUUUUUGAUUGUAUUAUAACAAAUACAUAAUUUUUGGAAUAUCCUACUGGACUGCAUUAUUGUGUGGCAAUUCAUUGACGACUUUGGUGAUCUCUGAUGAAUUUCUGUUGUAAAUACAUGUAGAUGUUAAUCCGACUAAAUCUGCUAGACUAUAAAGAGGAAGAUCCUUUGAUAUUUGCCAAGGUCUGGGCAUUUAUAGUGUGAGGAUACAUGUAUCUUGGGAUUACUGUCAAGGGGCAAUGUACAGCUCUAGAAAUAAUUAUUAUACCACCUGUCUUUCUAGCCUAUAGCUCAUUAUUCUCACUCUCUCUGUAAUAAUUCUUUCCAGAGCUGUAUCUAGGGUUUUUUUUCCUGAAACCAUUUUACUGUUUUCAUAUUGAUAGUAAUGGACUGUUAACUUUUAUUGUCAUUGAAAGAUUUCUACUUUAGAUGCAAUUUGAAUGUCAUUUGAAAACUAUAGUUAAUUAUGAAUUUCUGUUGUAAAUACAUGUAGAUGUUAAUCAGACUAAAUCUGCAUUCAAUUUGAAUGUAUGAAUUGAAAACUAUAGUUAAUGAUAAAUUUCUGUUGUAAAUACAUGUAGAUGUUAAUCAGACUAAAUCUGCUAGAGUAUAAAGAGGAAGAUCCUAUGAUAUUUGCAAAGGUCUGGCCAUUUAUAGUGUGCGGAUAUCUUGGGAUUACUGUAUAGGGGGCAAUGUAUCAAGGGGUUAUUGUUCUGAAAACGUUUUACUGCUUUCAAAUUGAAUGAAUGUGAAAUGAAUUGUUAACUUAAUUGUCAUUGAUAGAUUUCUACUUUACAUGCCAGUCACAAAUUUGAAUGUAAUGAGUUGAAAACUAUAGUUAAUGAUAAAUUUCUGUUGUAAAUACAUGUAGAUG